rnacentral:rRNA from 1 species
GAUGAACGCUGGCGGCGUGCCUAAUACAUGCAAGUCGAGCGAACGGACGAGAAGCUUGCUUUUCUGAUGUUAGCGGCGGACGGGUGAGUAACACGUGGAUAACCUACCUAUAAGACUGGGAUAACUUCGGGAAACCGGAGCUAAUACCGGAUAAUAUUUUGAACCGCAUGGUUCAAAAGUGAAAGACGGUCUUGCUGUCACUUAUAGAUGGAUCCGCGCUGCAUUAGCUAGUUGGUAAGGUAACGGCUUACCAAGGCAACGAUGCAUAGCCGACCUGAGAGGGUGAUCGGCCACACUGGAACUGAGACACGGUCCAGACUCCUACGGGAGGCAGCAGUGGGGAAUCUUCGACAAUGGGCGAAAGCCUGACGGAGCCACGCCGCGUGAGUGAUGAAGGCCUUCGGAUCGUAAAGCCCUGUUAUUGGGAAAGAAAAUAAGUGUAAGUAAAUGUGCAUAUCUUGACGGUACCUAAUCAGAAAGCCCCGGCUAACUACGUG